rnacentral:lncRNA from 10 species
GUGAAGUUUUACCCCCUGCUCCUCUGGCCACGCUCCCAGUGGAUCCCUGUGGUGCCAGCAGGAAUGGGCUGCUCCGGGGACCCAGCAAGCUCCCAGGGCCUUUCUGCUUCUUCCUUCACCCCUGUAUUUCGGUAGGCUCUCUGACUUGACUCAGCUCCAGAAAAUCUAUGACAUCAAUUGCCAAAGUGUUUUUGUGGCAAGAAAGUUUGGAGUGAAUGAAGGAGAAAGGAAAAAAAGACACAAGGGAAAUAAACACUUUUUUCCUGUUCCAUUUUUGACUUUGAAGUUCU